rnacentral:rRNA from 1 species
GAUGAACGCUGGCGGCGUGCCUAAUACAUGCAAGUCGAGCGAACAGACGAGGAGCUUGCUCCUCUGACGUUAGCGGCGGACGGGUGAGUAACACGUGGAUAACCUACCUAUAAGACUGGGAUAACUUCGGGAAACCGGAGCUAAUACCGUAUAAUAUAUUGAACCGCAUGGUUCAAUAGUGAAAGACGGUUUUGCUGUCACUUAUAGAUGGAUCCGCGCCGCAUUAGAUAGUUGGUAAGGUAACGGCUUACCAAGGCAACGAUGCGUAGCCGACCUGAGAGAGUGAUCGGCCACACGGGAAGUGAGACAGGGUCCAGACUCCUACGGGAGGCAGCAGUAGGGAAUCGGACGCAAUGGGCGAAAGCCUGACGGAGCGACGCCGCGUGAGAGAUGAAGGUCUUCGGAUCGUAAAACUCUGUUAUUAGGGAAGAACCAAUGUGUAAGUAAAUAUGGACGUCUUGACGGUACCGAAUCAGAAAGCCACGGCUAACUACGUG